GGACAAAUUUACUGCUAAAUUUGAACCCAGGACAAAUUUUGGCAGCCAAUCUUUAUCUUAGGAAGGUACUAGGACAAACAUUUCAAAUAAGACAAAAAGUAGCAGCACAAUCAUUUAUCCUAGGAUAAAAAAAUAGCAACACAAUUUUGACGAGUAGGACAAAAUUUUGAUAUAACAGACAUCUUCGUGCACAUAUGGGCAAGCCCCCAGGAUUGGGCUCAAUUAUUUUGAAGUGUACCUUGCAGUGUACUGUUGACUGAAUGAUGUUUUCAAAAUUCAAAUGUGGCAAAGCCUGAGCCUAGGCAUAUAGUGGAAGGGAGCGGGGAUGAGACGUAGACAAUGCCACACCCACGAAGACACCAAUGAUGAUGCUAUCAUUGAUAAAUGAUCCUAUUACUGAAUUGUAUGAUCUUGAAACUGGCCCUCAACUUCUCGUAGAGGCUAAAAAUGAAUAACGAAGACAGUUGCGUGUGUACUUCAAGUGGUCUCCUGAUGGUAGUGGUACUUGUGUAUUGACUUACAAUAAUGACAAUAUACUGAGAUUGUAUAAUCUUCCAAAUGAGCUCUACAGCUCUUCAUUCCCUGAUCACAUUCAACCAGAAACAGUGAAUUUAGACACACAAAAACAUGCAUAUGUACAUGUAUUUCUAACAUAUUGCUUUGCUGUCUUUUGUAGGAUCCUGUUGUUUAUGCUAGAGAAGAUGAAAUUAAAUACGAUUAUGCCUGGUUCCCUAGAAUGUCAUCCUAUGACUAUGCCACUUGCUGGUCAGUGUGUGAUCAUUAUAUGUGUGUACAUUCAAAUAUAAUUAUGUGUAGAUGAUAUAAAAAAUGAAAUAAUGUUAAUUGAUACAGUUGCAUGUACCUUUACCAUAAAAAUUUUAAAAUUGCAUAUUUUAAAUGUUCACUUCUUGCUAGGGCAAAUUUUCCAUUAUGCACUGCAACAAAAACGUUCACAAGAGAUAAAUGUGAUGAAAAUGAGGAAUAUUAUCUGGAAAACUACAUGAGAGUUGCCACAGUUUCCUGGGAAUAUAACAGCUAUUUCUGUGGACCAGAGUAUGACGAUGACAUGGAUCUAUACCAGUGGUGGCCACCAAAGAGCUGUUACAAGCCAAGGUAUGAUAGAGGUGCCGGUACCCUACUUUACAAACCAUGGACCAAUGGAUUGGGAUGCAAUGGGUUUGGU